GACGCUCCGGAACAGUUACUGGGACAGGCUGUGAGCGACUCACCAGGACAGUUUUAUUUCUGUGCUGAGCUUGCUGCUUCCUGCUGGGAAAAUGUUAGUGGCGGAGUCACACCCAGUUUACUAAUUGUUUAACUGCAAAGCUUGACUCUGGAAAUAAAAAAGGAAUGAGAGCAGAAGUGGAGACUUCAUAAAGAAAGUGAAUGGGGAUCCAAAAGGAUCCAGCUCCAGCUCCUGGAAGCUUACCCCACCCCACCAAAGAGAACCUGGAUGGAACCCUCUUUCAUCAGGAAUAAACUGGAGCCCAAGGAAAUGAAGGAAUCAGAUGGGGACCAAGUGACCUGUCCACACAAAAGCCAUCUGAUGAGUGCUUCUACUCCCUGUUCGCAGCCCACCUUCAGCUACACAGAUCUGCACGGCCCCUUGCUUCUGCCAUAUGGGAUCCAGCCUGACAGCAGCGAAUGAGUGCACAGAUUUCAAGUAGAGGAAAUCCCCAGGAAAUGAAACAAAGUACAUUUGCUUUUGAAAAGCCAAGCCAUACGGACAACAAACAAUAUGAUGAAAGGUCACUCAGAACCCCACCCUAGAAGAAAGCCAGAAGUCCUGGUUCGGACUGUGGAGAGAAGCUGGCUGCUCCUCACCUGCUCAUCUCGCUACCUGCGAUGAAGCUUAUUUCUGGAUGAUAUGAAGUAUCUUAUCUUUCCCGUACCAGAAGCUGCAAUCUAUUUCCAUGCCUCUCUCUCUCUGAAUCUGCCUUUUUCUAUUGAGGCUAUCACACCUUCUAUUAUGCCCAUUGUGUUGCUAUACCUACUUCCAGCUUUGCUGCAUUUUUGGGAACUGGAGAGCUCCAAUAAACACAGGAAGAGAGGAGCAAGUGGAGGCUUUGAGACUGACUGGUGCAGGCCUGGAUCUACUGAGGGCAGGUGAAAUGUGCAGGUAGGCAGAGGUCUGGGCUGAUCUUCAGAGUCCAGUUGCACCUUUAUCCUGGAAAUCAGUUGUGGAGUCAGAUAUACUGAUCCCUAUUUCUAGCUUCCACAACAGUAUUAUUUUGCACCAUUUUGGAAGCUUUCAUAAAACUAUUUUUAUGGAAGUUAUUAUUUGGGGGAAGGAGAGGCAUCCGGGAAAAUCUAUCAUCGACCUACUAAAUGGACCGCACCACCACCUUUUCCAAUUACAUAUUUUUCCACUGGAUAAUAUUUUAAGAUUCUACAGACACACGAGUGUCUAAGACAUUGAAAAGCAAACAGCAGCAUCUUUCAACAUAAAUAUAUUAAAGCCCAUAGGCAUGCACUGACUUGGAUA